GUGGGGAAUCUUGCGCAAUGGGCGAAAGCCUGACGCAGCCAUGCCGCGUGAAUGAUGAAGGUCUUAGGAUUGUAAAAUUCUUUCACCGGGGACGAUAAUGACGGUACCCGGAGAAGAAGCCCCGGCUAACUUCGUGCCAGCAGCCGCGGUAAUACGAAGGGGGCUAGCGUUGCUCGGAAUUACUGGGCGUAAAGGGCGCGUAGGCGGACAGUUUAGUCAGAGGUGAAAGCCCAGGGCUCAACCUUGGAAUUGCCUUUGAUACUGGCUGUCUUGAGUACGGGAGAGGUGAGUGGAACUCCGAGUGUAGAGGUGAAAUUCGUAGAUAUUCGGAAGAACACCAGUGGCGAAGGCGACUCACUGGCCCGUUACUGACGCUGAGGCGCGAAAGCGUGGGGAGCAAACAGGAUUAGAUACCCGUGUAGUC
rnacentral:rRNA from 1 species